UAAACACUGCUGCAGAAACCCUCCCGGUGCUGACCGCUGUGUCUGACAACAUUUUCUCUCGGAAGCACUAGUGUUCGAUGACUGUCUACCACGCCCACGACACGGUGCUGUGUGAGCCCUGCACGGGCCACGAAGUCCCAGGAUCCGGAAGGGAGGGAGACUGCUCUAAUACCCGGUCUGUCAAAAGUGACAAAAAAGCAAGGUGGACAAAAAGAGAUGCGUUUGGAGAAAAAUGAG